AGCGUGCAAAUGAUUGAUUUUUAGUAUAAAUCUUCUUUCUAAAGGACUUAAGUUCUUUGGGUAUAUUUUUUUACAAUGUAAAUGUGUAAAUGCUCAUGAAAACGUUGCUAUUGUAAAAGCGUUCUGGCGUCGAACAUGAUGCGUUCAAAUUUACCAUUCCCCCCCGAACGCCAUGUGUUCGAAACAUGCCCGCGUACAUAACAGCGCGUGACGUAUUUAAUGUACCGGAAGUUUGGUUUUUGAUCGUGAUUGAAGAAGCUUCACUGAAGAAAAUUACAGCAAAGCUUGAUUUAAUAGGUAUGUUUAAUUAUCUAUAUUUAUCACACAUUUUUUUUUAGUAUUAAAUCAACAAAUUUCUACUUUCACAGGACACACUGAAGUAUAAAUGGAAGUAGAACAUUUUGUGUCAACACAUAACGGUGCUGUUAUGCCAUAAUUCGAUUUAAAAAGUAGGAGGGUACAAACACAUCUACAGUACUGAGGGGUAAUUGUUCGUGCAUUCCUCGCCCAGAAUGAAGAGAAAAUUUCGCAGUUCAAGAGAUGACUACUUAUCCUGCACCAUAAAAGUACUUUCAUAUAACUCACAGUUGAUGGAUAACAAGGUUAAAGAGUAGUUAUAACCCAAGGAGACGAAUGUUCUAAAAAAUGGAAGCUCAAAAGACGAAUGUUCUAAAAAAUGGCAGCUCAAAAUCAGUUGUAGACGACUCAAAUCAUGUUCAAAAGUACCUAAGGUAGCAGUGUUACAUGAACACCGACUCGACUAGUAGCAGCAUAUACACAGGGUAUUUUAUGUUUGAUAUUGACUAUCUGAGUGCUAUGAAAGCUGUGGAUCAUCGAAAACAUUGGUGAUAAACGAGUCAUUGACAUAAGUAUUUUGUAAUUCAGGACAGUGCUUGACUUGAGAAGUUGCAAACGAUGAGUUAAACUGUGUUCAUAAGUCACUAAACUUUGUUGUUACAUACUAAUUUUAAAUAUGACGAACAAUUUGUUUAUGGUUAAAUAUUUGGACACAU